AACGAACGCUGGCGGCAGGCUUAACACAUGCAAGUCGAACGCACUCUUCGGAGUGAGUGGCAGACGGGUGAGUAACGCGUGGGGAUGUACCCAAAGGUACGGAACAACUCCGGGAAACUGGGGCUAAUACCGUAUGUGCCCGAGAGGGGAAAGAUUUAUCGCCUUUGGAUCAACCCGCGUCAGAUUAGCUAGUUGGUAGGUAAUGGCCUACCAAGGCGACGAUCUGUAGCUGGUCUGAGAGGAUGAUCAGCCACACUGGGACUGAGACACGGCCCAGACUCCUACGGGAGGCAGCAGGUGGGGAAUAUUGGACAAUGGGCGCAAGCCUGAUCCAGCCAUGCCGCGU
rnacentral:rRNA from 1 species